rnacentral:rRNA from 1 species
UACAGAGGUCUCAAGCGUUGUUCGGAUUCAUUGGGCGUAAAGGGUGCGUAGGUGGCGGGGCAAGUCAGGUGUGAAAUCCCGGGGCUCAACCCCGGAACUGCAUUUGAUACUGCCUUGCUCGAGUACUGGAGAGGAGACUGGAAUUUACGGUGUAGCAGUGAAAUGCGUAGAUAUCGUAAGGAAGACCAGUGGCGAAGGCGAGUCUCUGGACAGUUACUGACACUGAGGCACGAAGGCCAGGGGAGCAAACGGG